CAGUCGCCGCGGGAAUACAGAGGGUGCGAGCGUUAAUCGGAUUUACUGGGCGUAAAGCGUGCGUAGGCGGCUUUUUAAGUCGGAUGUGAAAUCCCUGAGCUUAACUUAGGAAUUGCAUUCGAUACUGGGAAGCUAGAGUAUGGGAGAGGAUGGUAGAAUUCCAGGUGUAGCGGUGAAAUGCGUAGAGAUCUGGAGGAAUACCGAUGGCGAAGGCAGCCAUCUGGCCUAAUACUGACGCUGAGGUACGAAAGCAUGGGGAGCAAACAGGAUUAGAUACCCCAGUAGUCCCUGUCUUUUAUAC
rnacentral:rRNA from 1 species